rnacentral:misc_RNA from 1 species
AAACGAGUUGCUUUCUUGAAUCUGUACAUCACAAGAAAUGCAGCUGGAGCGCGCACACUAAUCUUAUAUCGAUACAACACACUUCCAAUAUACAGGCUUUCAAAAACUACGAUAAGCUAAGCGAGUGAAACGUUGGAAUGAGGAAGCGACGUGAGUCCCCAUAGUGAGGAGUUAUACUGGUAGGCUAUGUCAUUUCCCAGAAUCUUGUUAUGAGUUGCUUUCCAAUACACUUUUUAGAAGAUUCAGUCCUUCAACUGAUAUGCUUCUACAUAUUCGAGUAGGAGGAAUUUCAAUCCUAGGUGGAGGAUCAGGAGAAAAACAAAUUACAAUGACUGUUAAGUUAUCACAUGUGUUGCGCUUGAGGGCUUCCCUUACCAGUUCUCUUGAACAUCUUUCUGGGUCAUUAUGUAGCAUGAGUUCUUUCCGGGCCAUCGUAACAGCACAUUGGCUGCUCAUAACAUCCCAUAGACCAUCGCAACCCAUGAUUAGGAACUCAUCAUCCUCGGUCAACAAUGUUUCCUGCAACUCCGGCUCUGCACUCAAGGGGUAGGCAGAACCUUUUGGGCCUUUCAUGUGCCAAUCCCCCAAGGCACGUGCUAUAGAUAACUGUCCGUUUAAGUAUCCGUCAUAUAUGACUCCUCCAAGUUUUUCUAUUCGAUGUCUUUCAGAUGCGCUAUUUGGUUUGUGGUCCUUAGACAACUCAAUGGCUUUACCUCGUUUCCCUAGCACAGCACGACAAUCUCCUGCAUUAGCAACGAUCAUGUUUCUUCCAAACAUUAGAGCUGUCAAUGCUGUGGUGCCAGAGUAUAUGUCAAUAGAACUAUCGUCGGCAAAAGCAUAGUCAGCUUUCAGAAAAGCAUUCUUGAGUGCCUUCUCUAAACACAUGGGAAAACAGGGGUCCUCCAUUAUGAACUUGAGAAUAUUAUUCCUCACAAAUAAUGCUGCAUCAGUACCCCCAUGGCCAUCAAAGACCCCAUAAAAUGCUGCAGGGGAAGUGGAACCUGCAAUUUCAUUAACAUGUAUGAUUAGAUCAUCUAUACAGAUAUGUUCAUCCUCCAUGUACUGUUUGGGUCCUUUCUCAGCACAACUUCCAGAACGAAAUAUUGGUUCAAAG